UACGUAGGGUGCAAGCGUUGUCCGGAAUUAUUGGGCGUAAAGAGCUCGUAGGCGGUCUGUCGCGUCGGCUGUGAAAUCCCGGAGCUCAACUCCGGGUCUGCAGUCGAUACGGGCAAACUGGAGUACUGCAGGGGAGGACUGGAAUUCCUGGUGUAGCGGUGAAAUGCGCAGAUAUCAGGAGGAACACCGAUGGCGAAGGCAGGUCUCUGGGCAUUAACUGACGCUGAGGAGCGAAAGCAUGGGGAGCGAACAGG
rnacentral:rRNA from 1 species